rnacentral:lncRNA from 1 species
AGAUCCAUGCUCAAGCGGGGCUCUCAGCUGCUUCUGCCCAUUGCCUUUUCAGAUUCUCUGGUUCUGGGACACAAAGAAUUGCGAGGACAACUGGAAAUGACCAGGUGGAGGACAUCCUGGGUUCCAAGCUCUUCUGAUCUUGUGAAUCUCAGCACUGACAUGGUCUCAGGACUUAGCUAUAACACUUGCACUCUCAAAGAUGGCCCUCAUAUCCUGCAGGAGAGGAGGCCUCAGGCUCCAGGGAGAGCAGAGGUCCGCCCUGGGGGGAAGUACGAAGCUGCCUAGAGAACCGUGAUUCCCUUCCAUCCCAAACCAAGGUGAGUCCCCAGGAGGAAGGGGCAGCCUCCACUAGGAUGAUAAGCCUUAACCCUCAGAACCAGAGCAGCCUGAGGUGCAUCAGGGAGGCCUGGCCAUGCUCUUCAUCCAUUCCUUCCACAAGGGUUACUGAGCACCUCUGUGUGCCUGGGGCUGUACUAGCUC